rnacentral:rRNA from 1 species
CUACGGGUGGCACCAGUGAGGAAUAUUGCACAAUGGGGGGAACCCUGAUGCAGCAACGCCGCGUGGAGGAUGACGCAUUUCGGUGUGUAAACUCCUUUUAUAUGUCAAGAAAAUGACGGUAGCAUAUGAAUAAGCACCGGCUAACUCCGUGCCAGCAGCCGCGGUAAUACGGAGGGUGCAAGCGUUACUCGGAAUCACUGGGCGGAAAGGACGCGUAGGCGGGUUGGAAAGUCAGGUGUGAAAUCCUACAGCUUAACUGUAGAACUGCACUUGAAACUUCUAAUCUAGAGUAUGGGAGGGGGAGAUGGAAUUAGUGGUAUAGGGGUAAAAUCCGUAGAUAUCACUAGGAAUACCUAAAGCGAAGGCGAUCUCCUGGAACAUUACUGACGCUAAGGCGUGAAAGCGUGGGGAGCAAACAGGAUUAGAUACCCCAGUAGUC